UUUUUAAUAUAGAAACCAAAACUCAUAAAAUAUUUUAAAUAAUCAAUAUAUUUAGGAUUUUUUAGUACCUAACUAAACCAAUGUAGCUAUAAUUUUAAGAAAAAAUUAAGCUCACAGACACAUUUCAAGAUUUCAAUUACACCUCGAGGCAUUUACCAUAUAAGAGCAUAUGUAACAUAUUGCUAUUUUCACUUCUAUAAUAGCCUUUAAAGGUAAAAUUGCUCCAGUCCACCUCUAUUUCUUCCUGUAUAAUAGAGAUCUAUAUUUUUUCUCUAUUUAUAGAGGAAGAAAUAGCAUUCCUCUAUCUUUUACUCUACAUUUAGAGAUUGUUAUUUUAGAGAUUGUUAUUUUAGAGGAAUUCAUUGAACCAUAUCCCACCUCUAUUAUAGAAUUUUUCUGUUUUAGAGGUGAAAAUAACAAAACACAUUGGAGAUGGUCUAAGAAACACUUUUUAGUUGCGUAAAGUCUCUACUACCCUUUUAACUCUAAAAGCUUGGUUAUGGUUUCAGUUUUCUGAAUAUCUCUCUCCUAAAAUGUCGGUGAGCACACUACACGAGCUAAGACCCAAACAACCGAACAAUGAUCCACCACAUUUGUAACGGCCCGGUUCCUAGCCCAAAAUUUUCUCUAAGAAAAUGGGCUUCUCUACGGCCCAUUUGGCAAAGACCUAGGGUUUCCCUUCCCCCUUUUCCUAUAAAAAGAGAUGCAGCCCUCCUUUUGCCUCAUUCAGAAACUGAAGCGAAGCUCUGCAGAGAAUUCCCGGAGACCGAAAACCCUAGCCGUCGAGCUCUCUCUCUCUUCUCUCUCUCUCCUCCGCGCCGUCGCUCUCUCCUCAUCGUCGCACUCUCUCUCUCCUCGCCGGCGCCGUGUGGUGGUGGUGGUGACCGGGUCUCAACCUUCUCUUAUCCUUGUUCCAGAUCCAGAUCUAGGCUAAGGUGGAGUGUCUUGAACCCAUCUUGUUCCAUGUACUGUAUACUCCUUUAUGUUGGAGUUAGGUUUGAUUAGACCCUGUUUGAGAGUUAGGAUGAUAGAACAUGGUUAUUACUAGGUUGAUAGAUGAAUGUAUCAUGAUGCAUAAGAACCCUCAUACUGUUAAAUGGGACUUAAUGAACUGUCUUGUGUUGUUGUGGUGAUGAUUGAUUGGUAAUUGAUACUUGUAUGUUUGGAUGUGUAGUCCUAUGAGUGGUUUGUGAUUAAAGCUAGGAUGCUAGAAAGAAGUAAAUGUUAAGAUGAUAGAUGACUACUGAUUGUUAUUGAUACUGUAAGUGAAACCUGAGUGUGAUGUGUAUUGUGUGUGACACCGAUAACGGGUGGCGUCUAGUGAAUGAGUUCAAUUACGAGUCUAAGUGUAAAAGAAAGUGAAUGAGAAUGAGAAUGUAUAAGUGAAAGUGAAUAAGGAUGUGAAAGGAUAAGUGAAUGUAUAAGUGAAUAACGUUAAGGUUAAGCAUGGGUUGGGAAAUCAUAUAGAGUCUAGAGGGAGUACGUGGGGUAGUAGUUCUACGCUAGGCAUCCAUAGGAGCUGUGGUGGAAUCCCCAAGAAUAUGGGGUAGAAGUCUAGCGAGAGCUACCCCCAGAGAAAAGAGAAAAGAUGAGCCAGCCGCGAGAGGCGGGAUAUAAAAACGUGCAUUGUAGAGUCCUUAGUUCAUGGUCGGGUAUCUGGGUGUUAAAGGUGUCAUAAGAUUGAGUCGGUCUGGUAUGUCGAGUCGGUUAAGUCUAUGGUUUGACGUGUGUGACAAUGAGUGAGAUCAUUGUACUGAUUGAUCGCUAGGUUGUUAGAAAUAUAGAGAAUUGAAUGUGUGGAAACAAAUGAUGAUGAUAUGAAAUGUUAAGAUGCAUCAACUGAUUGUAGUGGCUAGUCAGCCCUAGUUCCCGCAUAGAGUAGUAUAGAGUGUCAUGCGGGCAGGCUGGUCUAGAGUCACUUCACUGAGUAACUUGUUGCUCAUCCCUCCCUUUCCAUUUCCCUGUGCGCAGGACUGUAAGUAGAAGUAUAUGGAUGUGGGUGUGACGGUAUUUCAAAGAAGGUUAUGCGUCCGUUGACUCUUGGGACCAGUAACGGGACACACAUGGUUGUCUAAAUGAGUAGACACAUGUCCAUAACGCCCUUUCGAUAACCCCAGUCGGACGCCGAGGGAUCGGGCCAUCAAUUGGUGACAGCUUGUCCAGUGGGAAUGUUGUUAAAGGUGAGGUCCUGGGUUCGAGGCUCACCAACAACCUAAUUAUGGAGUUAGAGAGAACUCAUAAUGCAGGGGUUGGGGUCGGUGCGCUGCAGCGCUGUGAGCCUGGGGCCCACGGGGCAGGUAGUUCCCACGGGGUGGGUUGUCACAAAAAAAAGUCGACUUUUCUUAUAACGCCCCGACCGCCCACGGCUAAUGGGCCACCCUCGCUCGCUCUCUCGGCCCGUGGGCCCCAUCCCAUCCGACGGUCGGUCCGUUAAUUUCUGAAGGCUCGAAAUCAUUGUUUAUUGACCCUGCAAUCACCACUCGACCUUUUCGCAUGCUUUGGUCUCACUCGCACGCUAUCACGAAUCACUUCCCUAUAGGUCACUCAUCCUUCCACUGUUCCAGCUCAACGACGAACUCUGGAGUUGAUGUUACAACAUUGUUCAUCCAAUUUUUCCUUUCUCAAUCGAAGCGUUUAUGUAACUUUGGAAUAUGUCUUCCCUCUUUCUCCUUCCUCUUCCUCCAAUGAAACUACAAAGAAUAUUUUCAAUCCAAUUUACCAGAAAAGAGGCGAAAGAUGCUCGAUGUGAGAAUCUCCAAAAAAAUCUUUCCUUCUUGCUUCAUCCUUUCGAUUGAGAGAUUCUGAAGCAAUUCAGAGGAUCUAGCGUUUUGAUUUAGGCUACAUUGCAUCAAAAGUCGUUUUCGAAUCGAUUUAGUGUUACGUAAUGAUAUUGCGUUUACUCGUCCUCUUGAAUCGUUUGUUAAAGAUAGACAAUCUCAUUUUUGAAUUGUUUAAAAAGCCGUUUUCGAAUCGAUUUAGCUUUUACUCGUUUGUUAGCGAUGGUUACUCAUAGGAGAUGGAGACGAUAUCUCGUUUGUAUUGAUUAGAAGGCAGUUGAUAUGAACAAAGAAGUACCUUCUUCUGAUGAGGAUCAGUUUUCUUUGGAUGCAAAGGAUUCAAAUGUUGAAGAUGAAGUUUCAGGGAAUAAAGCAAUGACUUUUUCAUUUGAAGAGCUCUCUGUUUCUACGUGAAACUUCAGGUUGUUGCAAUCAAGGAACUUGAUCGGAAUGAUGCUCAAGGAAUUAGAGAGUUUGUGGUGGAAGUCACGACACGAAGUCUCACCAACCAUCCCAAUCUUGUCAAGCUUAUUGGAUUUUGCGCACAAGUGUUCAGAGGCUAUUAGUUUACGAGUACAUGCCACUAGGUUCUCUUGAAAAUCACCUCCAUGGUAUAAUUGCUUUCUAUGCAUAUUUACAGAAUAAUUUCGCUUCCUUGUAAUGCUUAGAGUAUGGAAUAGGUAUAAGGCAUGUCCACUAAAUGUAGUCCACAUGGACAAUUCAUUCAGGACAUGUCCACAAAAUUACGUACACAUGGAAUACUAGACGAUGCAAUAUUUUCUCUUCAUGUUACUUUUUUAACU